CGCGGACGCCGGGGGGCGCGGGACCGUUAGCGGCCCCUGCAGUCAGCCCGGCGGAGUCGCGGGGAGGCGGGAGCGGGAGGCGGUGCUGCGUCACCCGGAUGCAGGGAGCUGCCCGGGAUGCCAGCCCCCAAGGAAGGAGACUUCGUGGUAGCCUCUCUGGGGAAAAACACCACCUCUUAAGACGUGAACUCCAGGUACCUCAGGUGGGAGAGAGAGCCCCCUCCUGCUUAUCUCUGCAGCUGAAGGAAAGAUGGACAGCCUGGUGGACCCACAGCUUCGGGCAGUGUCAGGAGGAGGGGGCUGACAAAGUGGCUCUCUGGGAGCACUCAGGGAGGGAACAGAAUCUGUGCCUCCCUCUCCCAGGCUUCAGUAAGUGAUACAAUGUAGCCUUGAGUCAUUCCAGAGAGUAGAAGCUGCCACAGUGUUUCAGCUUUAGGAGUGGGGUGAAAGUCACCACCCCUCCCCCGACCUCCUCAACCCGCUCUUUAAAAAGCGCCCAUUCUAUCUACGGCAAUCGUAAUCCUCCAUGACCCAGCUGAGUGGCCUUUGCACAUUGGUAGUUGCUUGAGUGGCUUCGAACUGUUGGGGACCCUGAUCUGGAGGAAGAGGUGGCAGGACCCAGAGGUCAUUGCUCUACCUUGGUUGGUGUUUGGAGAAGCAGGGAGACCUUCAGUCUGCGCAUAUUUCACUUGCCUCUUUGUGUUCCAGUGAAAACGCAAGGGGAAAACUGCCUUCAGACAAACCCAGGGUCUUGGAAAUAACACCCCCGGAGAGUGCCAUUCCAGAGAGAUAACACAAGCCAGAGUCAGGCAACAAGCUUUGUCACACGGGGUGUAAAGGAUUAGAUCCAGCCCAAAAUCAAAACCAAUUUAUAAAUUUUAAAAAGAAAAGAAAUAGAAGAGUAGAAACUGAAUACCACUGAACUCAGCGCUCAUAGAUGGCAAAGAAGAUAUUGUGGCCCCAAGGAAAGCCACACUAAAGAUACUGCUGGCCAGUGCUGGCAGAGAAGGAUGGGUGACUGCAAUGAUACCCAGGAAGACGAGGGGCAAACUCUAGCACCCUUGACAGUCUGCCAGAAAACUGGGGGGUGGGGGUGGGGGUCAGGAAACCUGAAUUCAAAGGAGAGUGCUGUGCCUUGAGAAUAAUGCUAAGUGAGAUUACACACACACACACACACACACACACACACACACACACAUAAACAAACACGCACUAAAGCUUCAGAAGUCAGUUCUUUUCUUUCAUGGGGAUCUUGAGGAUCAAACUCAGGUCAUCAAACUUGGCACUUUUGCCUGCUGAACUGUUCUGCUGGUCCAGGAACUUUUUUUUUUUUCCCAAACCACUUCCCUUUACUGUCCUCUUCCCAGAGCUGUCACUUCUGACAUCCUCAUCAGCCCGUGUCACUCAGCUCUAUGUAGGCCAGCCACUGUGGCUUCUGCAGAGAGCAGGGCCAUGCUCUUCCCCUGCAGAAAUCUGCCUGUCAAAAGGUGACAGGGCUGUGAAGCUGGGCCAAGGACCCUUGUGGCUAGCUUGGCAGAGUUUUCAAGACAAGACAGAAGGCCACACUUCUAUGAGUGACUGUAAAAGAGCAAUGGAUUUGGUUCUAAAGUGGAAAGCGUUUUGUGGCAUGAUAGUGUCCUGACACAGACUGGGGCAUCCGGAGGCCAGCCUGUGACCGCUAGAUUAGCGCCACAGAGUUAAACUAGACUUAAAAGGUCACUCUUCACUGGGCGGCACUUUAAUCCCAUGCACUUGGGAGGCAGCCUUUAAUCGCAGCACUUGGGAGGCAGAGCCGGGUGGAUCUCUGUGAGUUCGAGGCCAGCCUGGUCUGCAGAGGGAGAUCCAGGACAGGCACCAAAACUACACAGAGAAACCCUGUCUCGAAAAACAAAAACAAAAAGGUCACUUUUCAGUGGCAGAGGCAGAUGAGCACAUGAUGCUCAGACAGAAAACAGAGACACCUGGGAGAGAUGCUGCUGGAGGCUUGUGGAAGGCGUAUGGUGUGCAGACACACUGGGUGAGAGUGGAUUGAACAGCUCGUACUGGACUCCUCCCACCCCUGGGAGCCAGCAGGGAAAACCUCUUAUGGCAGCCUCCAAAUCCAGGGUACCCAGCUCAUCCUGGAGAUACAGGCCCCACAGGAGCACUGCAGCCUGGUGCCAUUGGGGGAGGGUCAGGGAUUAGGAAAGUGCCAGGGUCAGAGGGACAUACAGAAGAGCCCCAUCUUGCAGCCCACUUCUGUUUCGGCUGCUGAUUGAAUGAACUCUGACUCAGGCUCCUGGUAGUUGACGCAGUUAAGGCUCACCAUGAUCAAUACUUUCACCAUGGAAGGAAAAGCUGCGUUUCCCAUAAAGAACCCCUGUACCCGUAAACUACCACUCUGCACUCUGCCCUGCACCUGAGGUGGGAGCUUCUGUCUGGCCUCACCUGUUCUAGAUUUUUUUCAUCAAGUAGAAUCACAUGCUCUCUCUCCUCCAACUCCGUGCUGGGAACAGAAUGAACCUCGCACAUACUAGACAAAUGUGUCACUACAGAGUGACACUUGCAAUCCCACUAAGUGGCCUUCCUGUCUGACUUCUUCCAUUUAGUAUCUGAGGGCACUCUUGCUGCCACAGAACACUGAGACUGAAUGAUUUCAGUCCUUCCCUCAAAGUCUCCCAUUGUAACCCCGACUGACCUGAAACUCACUAUGCACCCAAUCCAGUCUCAAACUUGCAGCAAACCCCCUGCUUCAGCCUCCUGAGUGCGGGCAUGUGCCACCAUGCCUGGCUGAGACCUAAUGAUUGGUGAACAACAGGGAUUUAUCAUUGUUGAAUGGCUCCACCCCUUGGCAUUCCUUUAAAAGCCCUUUGGCAGAGACAGAGGGGCUGGUGGGUUUUGACCCUGGCCCACAUUAUCAUUCUCAUAGUCUGGAGUCUAGUCAGUCCGAAACCAAAGUAUUGGCGGGUUCAGCAUCCAGUGAAGGACUUUCCCUCAGAUGGGCAGAAAGGACAGAAGGGUCAAAGGGGUGAACUCUUUGUCCUUAUGUGGUUAAGGAAGAGGGGAGCAGAGAGCCCUAAACCAGCUCCCUCCAGUUCUCAGGGCCACUUACCACUUACAGGGGACAUCCAUUUACAAGUGUCACAGUUUCUUCCUUGACUCCCCUGUCUCCAUGCCACCACACAGGGGACUUGGUUUCAUCAUCGAGUGUAACGUUUUCAAGGUCCGUCCACACUGCCUGUCUCCACUUCCCUCUUCCUUUGGCUGAACGGUAUUCUGCCAUGGUUGUGUGGCAUUUACUCAUUCAUCAACUGAUGGGGGUUCUGGUUGUUUGCACUCUUUGGCUGUAGGGAAAAGGCUGCCCUGGACAUUCAAGAAUAAGUUUUAGUGGGAGGGGGUCUCAGUCUCAUGGGUAGAUACACCCUAGGAGUGGGAUUGUUUUGUCUUCCAGCCCUCCGUGUUUGAUGUUUGAGGACGCGUCCGACAGUUUCCCCAUGCAGCCUCACUGCCUGGCAGCCCCAGAAGGGUACAAGCCUUCUAGCCUUGGCAUGUCUGCACUGUAGCUUAUGGUCCCCUGUUAGCUGUAUCCAUCUGUAGAAGGAAGAGGAGGAGGAGGAAGAAGAAAAGAAGGAGGAGGAGGAGAAGAAGAAGGAAGAGGAGGAGAAGGAGGGAAGAAGGAAGAGAAGGAGGAGAAGGAGGAGGAGAAGGAGAAGGGGAAGAGAGAAGAAGAAGAAGAAGAAGAAGAAGAAGAAGAAGAAGAAGAAGAAGAAGAAGAAGAAGAAGAAGAAGAAGAAGAAGAAUUGCUUCCCACCGAACCUUCUGCAAGGCUAGCUAAUUAACUGAUUAGAACUCUAGUGACUGUGGACAGGUUGGAAUGUUACAGGUCCAGGGCCUAAUAACAAUUAUCUUGAGCUAUCUCUGGUCCCCUAAAUAGCCAUUCCUUGCCCACAUCUGGGUUGGACCUAAUGUUCUAAGACUAACAGAUAAAAAGUUUUGGAAUGUGUUGACUUGGCAGACCACUAGCUUCCACCAACCCAAAAGCAAAGACUGUCAUUAGACAGCAUCCGAGGCCCAUGGCUGGGAUCUCUCUGCUUUGCUACAACCGUCUCGGUGACGUCUCCACCAAAGUAUUUGAAAAGCACCGUGAUUUAUGACUUUCUUCAUUCUUCACAAAACUCCUUUCGGUUGGAACAUGGAGUUUGGGGUAUCCUAAAUCUGUGUUCCUGGGCCAUGGUAACUCAAAUUUAGCAUCUAUCUCCUAUCCCCUUUAAGGUGAGAGCUGCUUUUGCAAUGGCAUAUCCUAAGUGGUGUGAAUUGCCUCUCUGUGGGUUUCGCCUGGCUUAUCUGUGAGAAAAUGGAUCUCAACUGUAUUGCCUCUCACUCGAGCUGCUGUUUAUCUAUUCUCUCCCCCAACUCCAGCAGCUGCCUCUGUCUUCCUAGAGUUUGAUUCUCAGCAUUGGGAAAAAAACAAAACAAAAUGAAAACAUGGGUCUGCUUCAGCUAUAGCUUGGGGUAUUCUAGACCAGUCAGGGCAGUGGUAAUCAACAUAGAUAGAUUUGGAUCCAGGGUGGUCCCAAGACAGACCUGAUGUGUGCAGUGAGUGAUUGACAAGGUGUGGGCGAUAAGGGUCUGAGCCCUCUACCCCUGUCUGUUUCAGGUCUGGGUGGGCUGUUGCCUGUCAUUGUGUGAGACAGGAAGUGCCCAAGGAGCCAAUGGGGUUUUGUAUCCUGACCAGAGGUCACACUUGAGACUGCUCGGUGGACAUGUGACAGUGGAUCUGCCCAGGGAGCUCCCUGCUUCUGUUUACUGGGACAGUUCUGAUGUGUACCUACUGUGCCAACUUCAUUAUAGCCGCUGCUCCAGCCUCUCUCUCAGAAGCAGCUCUGGGGAUGACUAGGUGCCUUGCCACCCACUACAUGUCAGGGUGAAAGACCCUAACCCUUCAGGCUUACACCCCCAAGCCCCAGGAAAUAAGGAACUAAAAAGAAAACUAGUUCCAAGGGCCACCUGACUCAGCCAUUAUUCAACCUGUAACAAUGUACAAAGAUUUCUGUUAAGAGAUGUGCUCAACUGUGACUGGGAUAGUUGCAAGUGUUCCAGGAAGGACCACUGUGACCUUUGUGUAAACUCCACUCUCGCCCUGAUACCCCCCUUGAGGUUUCAGGAAGAAUGUACAUGCGGAAGUGACUGUACCCACUCUGUGAUCAGACCAUGAUCUUGUAAAACGAAAUUGUAUGGGAAUUGUAAUCUUAUGGCUUUUGUGGGUUUUUCUUUAAAAGUCCCCAUGGGGCUGCAGUAAGAUGCGGCUCUUGCUCUUAGGAGCAGAGUUUGCCCAUCUGUACAGCCGCUUCAAUAAAAACCUCGUGCUGUUGCAUCAA